AAAGCUUCACACCAUUAUCCUGUCUUACACAACCGCUAAAGACACCUGAACAACACUGUUUCAAAGAUUUUAUUCAAGAUUUUAUUCCCUCUGACACCAUGAAGCGAAGCAUCAUUAUCAUUAGUGCCUUGUUUUUACUCGUCACUUUGUCUACUUUCCAACAAUCUCUGUCUAUGUCUUCGGGAAUGGGAAAUUGGGCGACACGAGAAUACAAAGAGGCCAAGAGAGCGAAAGAAAGCUUCUGUAUGGCAGCGAGAGAACACUGCAAGAGGGAGAUGCCGGCACCUAAACGUCAUUUUGGAAAGUGAACAUAAUGAUUUUAUGAGUUUAAAAAUAUGCUUGAUAAUGUUAGCCGAAGAUCCGAAAGUAUAAGUAAUGAAUAUAUACGAAGUAGAUAUAUAUCAUGAAGAUUUAUGUUAUAAAUAAUAUCUGCAUGACUGAUCAUGUAAAUCUCUUGUAAGUGUAAUUUCUCUCAUUUUUGAUAUGUAAUGAGAGUUACUUAUCAAGAUUAAUAAUUUAGCACAAUGUAAAAGAUUUCGGAUUCCAUAUAUGCAGUAUAAGAAUAAAUACUAGCUAUGCAACA